rnacentral:rRNA from 1 species
CUACGGGGUGCUCCAGUGGGGAAUAUUGCACAAUGGGCGCAAGCCUGAUGCAGCAACGCCGCGUGAGGGAUGAAGGCCUUCGGGUUGUAAACCUCUUUUAGCAGGGAAGAAGCGAAAGUGACGGUACCUGCAGAAAAAGCACCGGCUAACUACGUGCCAGCAGCCGCGGUGAUACGUAGGGUGCAAGCGUUGUCCGGAAUUAUUGGGCGUAAAGAGCUCGUAGGCGGUUUGUCACGUCUGCUGUGAAAAUCCAAGGCUCAACCUUGGACUUGCAGUGGGUACGGGCAGGCUAGAGUGCGGUAGGGGAGAUGGGAAUUCCUGGUGUAGCGGUGGAAUGCGCAGAUAUCAGGAGGAACACCAAUGGCGAAGGCACAUCUCUGGGCCGUAACUGACGCUGAGGAGCGAAAGCGCGGGGAGCGAACAGGAUUAGAUACCCGAGUAGUC